CUUAUACUCCCUCCAUCCGAAAAUACUUGUCAUCAAAAUGGAUAAAAAAGAUGUAUCUAGAACUAAAAUACAUCUAGAUACAUCUCCUUUUAUCCAUUUUGAUGAAAAGUAUUUCUGGACGGAGGGAGUACCAG
rnacentral:pre_miRNA from 1 species